GAUGAACGCUGGCGGCGUGCUUAACACAUGCCAGUCGAACGAGAAGUGAAGACGGAAACCUUCGGGCGGAAGGCUUUAUUUCGAGUGGCGGACGGGUGAGUAACGCGUGGGUAACCUGCCUCAUACAGGGGGAUAACAGUUGGAAACGACUGUUAAUACCGCAUAAGACCACAGCACCGCAUGGUGCGGGGGUAAAAACUCCGGUGGUAUGAGAUGGACCCGCGUUCGAUUAGCCAGUUGGCGGGGUAACGGCCCACCAAAGCGACGAUCGAUAGCCGAUCUGAGAGGAUGACCGGCCACAUUGGGACUGAGACACGGCCCAAACUCCUACGGGAGGCAGCAGUGGGGAAUAUUGCACAAUGGGGGAAACCCUGAUGCAGCGACGCCGCGUGAGUGAAGAAGUAUUUCGGUAUGUAAAGCUCUAUCAGCAGGGAAGAAAAUGACGGUACCUGAGUAGAAGCCCCGGCUAACUACGUG
rnacentral:rRNA from 1 species